GUCUACAACCAUGCCACCCUGGACAAGCUCGAUGUCUGAUCCCAGAAGCUAAGCAGGGUUAGGCCUGGUUAGUACUUAGAUGGGAGACCACCUAGGAAGACUAGGUGCCGUAGGCA
rnacentral:rRNA from 1 species